UGCCUACCCAUCUGAGGACAUGCCUGCUCAUCACCCACGUGCAUCCUAUCACAGUGGGACUGUGUGUGUUCCCUGCUCAUUGUCACUUCCAUGGUUUUGCUGAUUCUAUGCGAUUCUUCCAGGCCACUCCAAGUUCCACCUCUUCCACGAAGCCCUCCUUGAUUGCUGGGCCCUGGUUGAACUUAUUAGUAACACCCAGGUUACUUCUACUUAAUUCUUGCCUCCAGCCAAAGUGGACUUAGAACCUCCUUGCAUGCCUGGUAAAGUCAAGGUGUUCAGCCAGGGCCUGGGUAUAAAGCAGAAGCAACACAGUGUCUGGUUUGAAGCUUAGGGCUUGGGUUCAGAUGGUUGUGGGUUACAAUCCCUUCUACGCGUGUUGCCUGUGGAAACCCUUUGGUUCUCUGUGCCUGGAGCUCGCCUGUAAUGGGACAAAACCAUCUCACCUAGAUUGUUGUUCUGAGGAUUGAAUUAGGUGAUUCUGAGAGGUGUUUAUGAGUCUUCCCUGAUUAACAAUCCAUGAAAAGUGGGCGUCAUUGCUGAAGCUCACGGAAGAAAUAUGAAAUUUGAUUAUAUCCUGAUUCAUGGCAUUGGGUCACCACCUCAGCAGUUUUUAUGAAAGUAGCAUCUGACCUGGCAAAGGCUGUGUCAUCUUAUUAUCUCAGAAAGGCAAAUUUACGGGGUCAGAUGAUGGACGGCCAGGUUUCAGGCUUGUAGAUUUCUCAAUGGGGUGGAAGGAAGGAGAGAAAAAGAGAGACAGGAGAGAGUACACACUUAAUUCUACUUCUCCUAGGGUGAUAUUUCCUCCUUCCCCUUCCAGAGUUCUCAAAAAGGCAUUCUAGGAAGUCCUGUAAAAUACAUGCUCAUACAACAUCUCCUAAUUUCCACAAAUUGUUGAGAAUUUAAAAACUCAGUUGGGGGUUUGCUGUUCUAGCCUGAGACACCAGGGUCACGUUUCAGUGCUUGCAGUCUUGACAGUACCAGGCAUCUGGGAUGAAGUUGGGGAAAGGUGGUCUGGUGACCCUGCUGGCCUGCCUCUCUUGAAAGAUGCUUACUGGCUGCUGGCUCCAUCACUGGUGUGUCACAGGGCUUUAGGAUUUGGAAAAGCAGAGGAUGUAAAACAAGACGGAAUGGUCAGAAUUUAGAGAACCAUGUGCCGAAGUGCCAUCUUUAGGGUGCUCAUAACAUGACCCUACGACAUUAGAGGUGCUGGAAUCAUGGAAGAGGAAUCCAGACUCUGUAAUCUUCCUCCCCCUGGAAAAUCUGCGCUGGAACUGGGGGAUUGGAAGCUGUCAACACAUGAGCCAUCUUCUGCUCUGUUCAAGAUGGUAGGGGCGUUCUCGACACGCCCCUCCCUCUGAUUCUGCCUCACUUUUAUUUUAGAAUUUUCCACUGCCUCUUCUGGAAUGUGCUUUUUCACCCCUCGAAAUCUGUAGAGAAGAAAUAAGCAGAAACUGAAAUGGCUUUCUGGUGUUAAAUGCUCUCAGCUUAGUGGAAAAUCGAGCAUUGGGCUCGAGGCUGGACUUUUGCGGAGAGCACUGCAAUAGUGCUGUGGCCUUGCCUUUCUUUCUCAUCACCCGGGUACAGUCCUGCAGUCCUCAGAGGAUGCCAGUCCCACACAGGGGCAUCCUCCUCCGCAGGAAAACCGAGGAACAAUGCAGGUUCGAUGUGUAAGAUGGCUAAGCACAUUCAAUCUUCGAGAUCUUUCCUCCCAAACCCUAAUGCUACCUCAAGAUGGGCUGCUGCCUGCUACCAUUUCAACAUCGAGUCCUUUAAGAUGCCACCUGAGAGAGAGACGGGAAGCGAGAGGCCAAGAAAAAUGAAAGGCCCUGCAUGUUUUUCUCUGGGAAGGGUGUGCAGUCUGCUCUGAGGAGACAGAUCAACCCAGCCCUUCUCCAGGACCAACUCCGAAAACCACAGGAAUUCACGCUCAGAGGAUGAUGCAUCUCAGAAUCAGGUGGCCUUUAGUGAGCCAGUGGCUCUGAUUCAUGUGGUCAGAUUCUGAACUGGCAGACACAAGGACAAGCCCGCGAGAGGUGUGGCAGGACUGGACAUUCUGUGUAGUGAAUUUUAGGAAAAUGGAUUAAUAACGGUAACAGUGAUACAAUGUGUGUGUCUAUUUUAGAGAGCAGAUGGUUGAUCUGGUGCUAAUUUGCCCAAUAUGGUAGCUACGUAGCAACAAAAUUCCAAGACUGGCACAAGGAGGGCCUGGUUCCAGGAUUUCAGUGAAACUGCUGGGGCUACAGGCCAGUGGAACACUUCCAGGCCAAUGGCCUUCUUAGAACACCGUCAUCAUUGAUUCCGUAUCUACAGAAGUCACGUAACUGUGGCUGCCUCUUUUCAGUGGAAACAGAAAGAAAUACAACGUGGUCAACUAAAUCGUGCUGACCUUACAAACACUGCAUCCUCUCAGGCAACCACUUUGGCAUAUAAACCACAUGUACGAUAUUCCUGCUACUUCAAACAUGACUUUUCUAAUGAGCCAAAAAAAAUCUAAGUGUGUAAAUAAACCGAAUUCAUUGCCA